GGUUAAGCGACUAAGCGUACACGGUGGAUGCCCUGGCAGUCAGAGGCGAUGAAGGACGUGCUAAUCUGCGAAAAGCGCCGGCGAGGUGAUAUGAACCUUUGACCCGGCGAUGUCCGAAUGGGGAAACCCAGUGUGUUCCGACACACUAUCGUUAACUGAAUACAUAGGUUAACGAGGCGAACCGGGGGAACUGAAACAUCUAAGUACCCCGAGGAAAAGAAAUCAACCGAGAUUCCCCCAGUAGCGGCGAGCGAACGGGGAGCAGCCCAGAGUC
rnacentral:rRNA from 1 species